GCGGAGAGGGAGGGACCCUAGGGCUCGCGGCGCGUCCCGGGGAUGCUGGCAAGUCGUGUUGGCUGCACCCCUCCCACCCACCCCCGGGAGGAGACGGGGCGGGGGGGGGGGUGCCCCGGGACAGUGCCCACCGGGCGGGGUGAUGGGGGUAACGAUGCCAGGUCUCGGCCGGGGAGGGGCAGAUGACCCCGCGAGGCGCUUCGCAGGGUGCCCCACAGCCGACUUCUCCUAGGUGGGCCGGUCGCCGGAGGCAGAUGGCAGACAAGGGAAUCCGGAAAUCUGGAGUCGUGGCUGCGGUGACAGCGCGAGUGCAGAACCCGUGCCAGCAGGCCCACGGCCCCAACUGUGAGAAGGAAAUGUGGCGAAUCUAAGACACGGCCGUGAAAUGAGGUUGCGUCUACUGAUGAGAGCAACUUGGAUGAUCUACACUCGGUGUGUGGGCGGCCAUGCUAGACGGUGUGUGCCUGUCGGGGUGAAGGAGUCACUUUCAAAAGUGUGAAAUCUGGGCCAGCCUAAGGGUAUUCACAGCCUCUCUUACAGAGAAAUAUGCUAGGGAAGGUUUGGCUCUUAAAAUAAAAAGGAAGCACAGCCACCGAAA